rnacentral:rRNA from 2 species
CUCCUGGAUUCAGCGGCGGACGGGUGAGUAAUGCCUAGGAAUCUGCCUGGUAGUGGGGGACAACGUUUCGAAAGGAACGCUAAUACCGCAUACGUCCUACGGGAGAAAGCAGGGGACCUUCGGGCCUUGCGCUAUCAGAUGAGCCUAGGUCGGAUUAGCUAGUUGGUGAGGUAAUGGCUCACCAAGGCGACGAUCCGUAACUGGUCUGAGAGGAUGAUCAGUCACACUGGAACUGAGACACGGUCCAGACUCCUACGGGAGGCAGCAGUGGGGAAUAUUGGACAAUGGGCGAAAGCCUGAUCCAGCCAUGCCGCGUGUGUGAAGAAGGUCUUCGGAUUGUAAAGCACUUUAAGUUGGGAGGAAGGGUUGUAGAUUAAUACUCUGCAAUUUUGACGUUACCGACAGAAUAAGCACCGGCUAACUCUGUGCCAGCAGCCGCGGUAAUACAGAGGGUGCAAGCGUUAAUCGGAAUUACUGGGCGUAAAGCGCGCGUAGGUGGUUUGUUAAGUUGGAUGUGAAAUCCCCGGGCUCAACCUGGGAACUGCAUCCAAAACUGGCAAGCUAGAGUAUGGUAGAGGGUGGUGGAAUUUCCUGUGUAGCGGUGAAAUGCGUAGAUAUAGGAAGGAACACCAGUGGCGAAGGCGACCACCUGGACUGAUACUGACACUGAGGUGCGAAAGCGUGGGGAGCAAACAGGAUU